CCUAUGAAAUCGAGUGGCAAACGGGUGAGUAACGCGUAAACAACCUGCCCUUCGGAUGGGGAUAACAGCCGGAAACGGCUGCUAAUACCGAAUACGAUCUUUUCGUCGCAUGACGGAAAGAAGAAAGGAUGGCCUCUAUACAAAGCUAUCGCCGAAGGAGGGGUUUGCGUCUGAUUAGCUGGUUGGAGGGGUAACGGCCCAACAAGGCGAUGAUCAGUAGCCGGUCUGAGAGGAUGAACGGCCACAUUGGGACUGAGACACGGCCCAGACUCCUACGGGAGGCAGCAGUGGGGAAUCUUCCGCAAUGGACGAAAGUCUGACGGAGCAACGCCGCGUGAGUGAAGAAGGUCUUCGGAUUGUAAAGCUCUGUUAUACGGGACAAAAAAGACGGAUGCCAACAGUAUCCGUCCGUGACGGU
rnacentral:rRNA from 1 species